rnacentral:rRNA from 1 species
UACGUAGGUGGCAAGCGUUGUCCGGAAUUAUUGGGCGUAAAGCGCGCGCAGGUGGUUUCUUAAGUCUGAUGUGAAAGCCCACGGCUCAACCGUAGAGGGUCAUUGGAAACUGGGGAACUUGAGUGCAGGAGAGAAGAGUGGAAUUCCACGUGUAGCGGUGAAAUGCGUAGAGAUGUGGAGGAACACCAGUGGCGAAGGCGACUCUUUGGCCUGUAACUGACACUGAGGCGCGAAAGCGUGGGGAGCAAACAGG